ensembl:lncRNA
UUGAGAGGAGCUUUCACUGAAGGCUCUUGGAAGACCAAGCUGUCAUGGGAUAGAAGUUAUGACCUUUGGGUAGAUAAACUCCAGCCAGAAAGUGUGUAAAGUCAGCAUACAGCAAGCAUAAAACUUCGAGCAUGCGACUGGUCUUAAAUGAAACAAUGAGGCCAAAGCUUCCCAGCGUGCAUCAAACUGCUUAUGCAAACAGCCCCUUUGAAAACAGUGAGCUGAAGGAGUGGAAGGAACAUCAAGCUGAAGCAAGAGAUUUCAGUAAGAGAAAGGUAGAGCUCAUAAGGAAGGUGUGAGUGCUAGUCCAGUCAGUUGAAUUCCCUUUCCUUCUCAGCCAUAAAUAUGUAAUAACUGUGGAAGUUGCUUAAAAUUAUGUAGAUUACUGCUAACAGAGUAUGCUUCAUUUUUUUUGUAUCUGGGCUGAGAGUGUGAAAACAAAUUUGAAGAAUUGCUGAAGACUCCCAACUGCAGCUUAGGUCAGUGGAAGCUAUAAAUCAAAGCCUUUCAAACUCAGUGCUCAAAAUUCAUGGUUAUUAAUAACCAUAAUCUCUCAACUUCAGUUUUUUUUAGGAUGGGCAUAGAACCCAUUAUCUCACAAGGAUGUUGCAGGCAUAAUUAGUAUUUGUAAAGCUUUCACAACUAUACUGACGAGCAUCAUAAAAGAGAACUCACGAGGAAGUUAAUAAUUGUCUUUAGAGAAGGGUUUGAAUAGCGUGCAACAAAGAUGGCAUGAGGCCAUGAACUGAACAAUGGGAUCAUGUAAUGAACAAUGAACUAAAUAUUGAACAGCUGUUCAUUAAGUAAACACCAUCCAAUCUGGACACUGGAAUGGCUGGGGUGCUAUGGAAAAAAAGUUGUGACUGCUUAAUUACAACGUGUAUCUGCUCAGAAUAAAUCAGCAGAGGUUGUAUGAGCAAAGUUAUUUCUGGCAGGCUCACACUUGGCUGAAUAAGAAUUAAUGAAUUUUUUAAUGUAAUUUCUUAUACUUGCAUCUUCGAUAAAAAAAAUGCUCACCUGUUAAUGUGUACAUUAAAUGGUAGAGGAAAAAAGAUGGAGAAGUAGAAGAAAAAACAUGGUUACACUGAAAAACGCUGUCAAUGGAAUGGAAAGAUGGACUGGAUUAAGGAAAGUGGAGAAGAUGGAAGGAUGUUCUGGGAGAUCUACACAAGAACAUAGACUAAUUCUUUGUCAUUUAAAUGCUUAACUUUUACAGUUGAGAAGUGCACUUCAAGUAAUUGUUUUUAAUUCUUUUUAAUGGGAAAUGGAAUUCUUAUUCUCAUCAACUGCUGAGCAAUGUUCAAAAAAAUCAUGUCCUUAUAUUUUUCCACAGCCAUUACAAAUCAGCAUGCAUUUCAGUGAAGUUCAGAGACUUUAUAAAUAGUAGUACUUUUCUAGGGGCUUAGCAUAAGAGUAGUAAGUUCACAGAUAGACACUCAUUCAUGUACUUGUCUCAUUUAGUUAACAUUAGCUAUUGUGUUUGAAUGACAGUUUUUUCUUACACGUCUUAGAUUUUAUAAUGCUGAAAAUCUUUUCCCUUGUCUUUUGCUGUGAAGCAAACUGAUAAUUUACAUAGGAGUUGACAGUGGAAGGUGGAAAGAUUACACAGAGCAUAUAAUGAUGAGCUCUGUAUGAUGAGAUGAUACAGAUGAUGAGCAUCUGUAUCCUCUUUUUUUUAGUGAUACUGCUUUGCAGAUCAGUUAUGGUCACUGAGGAAUUGCUGUCCAUAAUCCUUUCACUGCUACUUUAUGCCCUCUGUCUCCUGGGCUCAUUAGUUUAUCAUCUCCUGCCAAAGAAUGGGUACUAUGGUACAGAUACUGUUGUUUUUUCAUUAUUUUAUAAUCUUCCUUCUGACAAACUUGGAGCUUCUAGUUGCCCUGACAACACUAUAUAAAAAGAUUAAUCUAGAGUGAAUUUGUUUCAAUAAUUUUUAGACUGAGACUUUACUAAAUAUUAUCCUUAAUCCUUCUCAAAAGUGAAUGACCAAAAGCACAAAAAAGAGUAAAAGAAAGUGAGAGAGAGACAUUUGGACAACAGACAUUCCAGAUGUGUUGUUAUGAUUUGAUUUUGAGAGUUCAAUCUAAGUAAAAUUUAUACUGAAGAUAUUAAAAGGUAUUUCUAUACACAAUGAUUAAACUUGAAGAGAAGUAGGAGUGAUCAUAAUGACUUUGGAAGUCUCUAGGUCAGAACUACAGGCUCUUUAAUAAAAGGAUUUUAGUUCAUAUAGCUUGACCUUUUUACUGAGGUUUUAUUAUUUCUAUAACAUAUCCUUUUCUUAUAAUUACUUGAGCUUUUAUAAAAUACUUACUUUAACUGUUUUGAAUGAUGAAUUGUAACAAUGACUUUCUAUGGUACUGUUAGAAAAUAGGAAGAGAAAGCUUUUUAAAGAGACUAGUAUUACACUCUGCAAUACAGGGCACUAUAUUAAAUACAUCGAAUUUCUCUUCAAUACACAUGAU